rnacentral:ribozyme from 1 species
GAACAUUCGCAGAAAAACAGAACACCGACCAUGAGGACUUGACGCCACCAUGAAUGAUAGUUUCCGCCAAUAUUUCCGCCACGAAGAAGCAACAACAACAGUGCCAAACAACAGCAAAGCAAAUAGCAACAGCAAUACAAUAGCAAUACCUGACCUUUAGCAUCUUUGGCGGAGCAGCAAUAGCAAUCGACCAGAGGCGGACGGCCCAAUG